rnacentral:rRNA from 1 species
GGGGCCAUCCCGGCUUACCAACCCGAUGCAAACUGCGAAUACCGGAGAAUGUUAUCACGGGAGACACACGGCGGGUGCUAACGUCCGUCGUGAAGAGGGAAACAACCCAGACCGCCAGCUAAGGUCCCAAAGUCAUGGUUAAGUGGGAAACGAUGUGGGAAGGCCCAGACAGCCAGGAUGUUGGCUUAGAAGCAGCCAUCAUUUAAAGAAAGCGUAAUAGCUCACUGGUCGAGUCGGCCUGCGCGGAAGAUGUAACGGGGCUAAACCAUGCACCGAAGCUGCGGCAGCGACACUGUGUGUUGUUGGGUAGGGGAGCGUUCUGUAAGCCUGUGAAGGUGUGUCGUGAGGC